rnacentral:rRNA from 1 species
CACGUAGGGGGCAAGCGUUGUCCGGAUUUAUUGGGCGUAAAGAGCUCGUAGGCGGUUCGAUAAGUCGGGUGUGAAACCUCCAGGCUCAACCUGGAGACGCCACCCGAUACUGUCGUGACUAGAGUCCAGUAGGGGAGCGUGGAAUUCCUGGUGUAGCGGUGAAAUGCGCAGAUAUCAGGAGGAACACCAGCGGCGAAGGCGGCGCUCUGGACCACAUCUGACGCUGAGGCGCGAAAGCUAGGGGAGCAAACAGG